rnacentral:rRNA from 1 species
CCCUUAGAUGUCCGGGGCUGCACGCACGCUACACUGAAGGAAUCAGCGUGCUAAAACCAUUGUCGAAAGGCAUUGGUAAACCCAUUAAAAUCCUACGUGAUUGGGAUCGGGAAUUGCAAUUAUUUCCCUUGAACGAGGAAUUCCCAGUAAGUGUGGGUCAUAAGCUCGCGUUGAUUACGUCCCUGCCCUUUGUACACACCGCCCGUCGCUGCCCGGGACUGAGCCGUUUCGAGAAAAGCGGGGACUGCUGCUGUCGGGGCUUUCGGGCCUUGGCUUCGGUGGAAACCGCUUUAAUCGCANUNGCUUGANCCGGGCAAAANUCGUANCA